UUCAGUCCCGUUAGUUACGCACUGACCGACUGAAGAGCAGCCUAUAAACCAACUGAACAUGAAGGAGAAAACACGAGAAAAACACCACAAAACUCAAGGAUUUCGACUCAUCUCACUCUUAACAUGCUGGAUUUCACUCGUGGCUUUCACAGAGGUGUCACGGUGUGACGCUGUGCAGGUCUCCGUACGUGAUGAGCGGCGCUUUGCGAUGUUGUUUCAGUCUGUGGUUUUACCGUGUCAGUACACCAGCAUAUCCACGCAGACUCCGGUGGUCCAGUGGUGGUAUAAGUCAUACUGUCGUGAUCGCACCCGCGACGUUUUCCGCUUCCCUGACACACUGACGGUCCAGGGCUCUGAGCUGGGGUCUUCGGUUUACCUCGACUGCGGGGACGCCGGGCGGACGGUCCGCAUCGUAGCGUCUGGACAGGGGUCGUCCAUCACCCUCGCCGAGUACUACAAAGGAAGAGACAUCGCCAUCAUUAACAAGGCUGACCUACGCAUUGGUGAGCUGCAGUGGGGUGACAGUGGUAUUUAUUACUGUAAGGUGGUCAUCUCUGAUGAUCUGGAGGGUCAGAAUGAAGCUCAUGUGGAACUGCUCGUGUUAGGUCAGACAGGUAUGGCCGAUGAUCUUCUACCUGGGUUUAAUGUGGAGAUUAUUCCAGAGUGGGUGUUUGUGUGUGUUGUAGUAGUGGGCAGUAUUCUCUUCAUUCUGCUGGUGGGUGUGUGUUGGUGUCAGUGUUGCCCUCAUUCCUGUUGCUGUUACGUGAGAUGUUGCUGCUGUCCUGAGACCUGUUGCUGCCCACGACAUUUGUACGAAGCAGGGAAAGGAAUCAAACUGGCACCAUCAACGUCAGUGCCAGCGUACCCUACAUACUACAUACCUGGGAUGCCGACCAUGCUGCCCAUAGCACCACCGUCCCUCAUUGACCCUAACCUGACCACAGCACCAUCAGUACAGAGCAACAGCACAACAGGGCACAGUGGCUUUCAUCCGCAGCCGUCGUCAGAUCAAAACUCUCUCAAGGUGCUGCAGUAUGUGGAAAAGCAACUCGCCGAAUUCAACCCAUCAUCACCGAAACACAGCAGCAGUCGAGACACUUGCAGUAUGUCUGAACUGAGUUCAUUACAUGAUGCAGAAACUGAGUUUCAUCAAAACUACCGACAAGUCCAAAAAAAAGCUCUACCGUCCAUCCCUGACCUCGAUGAUCUGCCUGACCUCACGACUUCAGAUUUAUUGGAUCUACACGAGGGAAGAAACGCGCGCCAGCCACAGCGUAGACUCCGGGAGUUGGACGACAAUCCCAGGUGGAACCCACGCUCAGAACACUUGGAGAGAAAAGCUUUCCUAGAACGAGGACGCACGGGAUCACUGGAUGAGCUUGAGGAGUUCGCCAUGACCUAUAUGCAGCGAGGACGUCGUCACGGGGACCCGGGAUUCAGGGAUAAAGACUACAGAGCGCGGGAGCGAGAAAGAGAACUGGAACUCGAUCGUAAUCCGUUUUAUUGCUCCAAACUGCACUCUCAGAAUAAAGGACCAAUGAGACAACCACCAAGUCCCCCACCUUUACCUGGUAAAAGGCGUGGCAUUCGGGAUUCUGACCAACCAGAUCGAGAUACACGACAUCGGGAUCAGGAUAGGGGGCGAGACUACAAUGAUGCCCUUCUCAACAGUUUCUUUGAGCAUAAAGGUGAGAAAGUUUCUUCAAAAGCAGGGAGGACUGAGGAAGAUUCAGACAAAACCAGUUCCAAAAAGAGUCAAGAGCGAACGGCAAACGCCAGGUCUCCAAGCAACCGGUUACCUCGCCAAAAGACGGCAGAGGACACAGAAUCCUUGCCCCCCUACACGGAGAAAGAGCAUUCCCGUGGAGUAGAGUCCGGACAACGACCUUUUAACUACACGCGCUCCAGUCACGGCUCUUCACCAGGACGACAGGAGGAGCAGAACCGCCCUCGUAAAGUGCGUGAUAUCCGACGGACGGGUUUUCCCAGAACGCAAAUGACAUGAGAAUGAUUUCUGCUAAUGCUACACAAGACUGAAGAUCAUCAAAUAAUAAAAUAUUGAUCUAUUUUGGAUUUAGUGUUAUUCUGAAAACACGCUUCUGACCAGAGACUUGCUUGUAGUCUGAUGUCCUGAGACACGCUUUCACCACGCACGGCUUCUCUGACCCCUGCGGACCCCCUGUAUUAUCACAAACACUAAAGACAGCUUGUGCUUUAUGAAUGACUUUGUAGGGUUUCACUCCAUCGAUUGAAGUCCCAGAAAAGAAGUAAACACAGAAUUUGGGUGAUCUUCAAAUGAAAAUGUUUUAAGCGUUACUGUGUAUCUGAAUGUAGUUUGAUUUAAGUAGUAAAUAUAUUCAUCAGGACAUUUCAUAUUUUGGCUUUCUUCACCACCAACAGAAUAAGUAAAUUCAAAAUGUUUAGCUGGUAAAUUUUAAUUGACAUCUGAGAUACUACAGCAUACUGAAUAGACAGUGGAGUCUAAUAAUGUAAAGAAAUGGAUUUGUGUGCCAUGAAUAUAUUUACCAGACAGUAUUAAAGGUCUGUAUUAUUAUUAUUAUUAUAUAAGUUUAUUGCUGUGAGCUUUUCUCCAUUAUUUUUCAUUUCAAUACAGAGGUUUAACUGUCCAUUAUAAACACACACACGCACACACGCACGCACACACAAACACACACAAACACACACACACACACACACACACACACACACACACACACACACACACACACACACACACACACACACACACACGAAAUGUACAACUUUGAUUGAUUUUUCCCAAUUUAUUCACAAUUAUGCAUAACAUUUCUGUGAAAAUGACAUUUUUUCAAAAGGUUUAAAAAAUCUUUUGAGUGUUUGAGAAUCUUGCACAAAUGUUUUUUUUUCAUCAUUUAAACUUUAACUUGGUUAGGGUGGUUAAUAAGACAUUUUUCUGUGGUGUGACAAACUGAGAACAUAAUAUCAUGACUUUAAUUUAAUAAUUGCUAUGUAGUUAUUUUAGUUCCUAUAAAUGAUUUAUAGUUAACAACACUCCACACACAGACACACUGUAUUUUGUCAGAUUGAAUAAAGUGUAAGCUAGUGUAGUUUUAGUAAUGAAAGCAGCCUGAUGUCCACGUGAUUGAGUUGUAGUGAAUGCUGGAUAAAUGUUGAUCUUUCUCUCUAUGGUACCUGCUGUCAAAAGCUUAUUGACAGAAAAGAAGCAGCAGUCACUGGAUGAUGAUGUCAUCAAGCAUCACAUGUUAUGGAGUGUUAGUCUGUGUUAACUGGUUUGUGUGUUUGGUUCUGUAGGAGAUCUGAUCCUUCAUCUGACUUUUCUUUUACUCUUAAAUGUUUGUCGUUGCUCUAAAACUUAUAACAAUUGAAUCCCAAUACUUGAGAAAAUCAUUUAACUGCAGUUUGCCUGUGAGGACUGAAAAUCUUUCUUAUGUUUACACUUUUGUUUUCAUUAUUGUUGUUUUAUUUGUAUAUAAGUUUGAUCCAAGCACAUGAAUCUACUUAACUGUAUCAUUAUAUGAAACCUAAUAAAGAACAAAACAAUUCAAUUAUUUCCCUAAACGACUCAUUUCAUU